UACGGCCACAUCCCGUUACAACAUCUGUCCCCGUAAGUUCACCGAAGUUAAGCAACGUCGAGCCUACUCAGUACAUAGAUGAGUGACCGCUUGGGAAUACCAGGUGCUGUAUG